rnacentral:lncRNA from 1 species
GAGAAGGUCUUUAGGAAAUGGGGGUCUCUGAGAACCGGUUCUUAAAGGUCAAGCACUUGAGCACCUCGCAAACUCCUGACAAUUGAAACAUAUCUGAAGAGUCUUCUUCAGAUAUGUCUCUGUGUGUGUGUGUGUGUGUGUGUGUGUGUGUGUGUGAGAGAGAGAGAGAGAGAGAGAGAGAGAGAAUAUGAAUGUGCAGUGUCCCAGUCCUGAUCUCCUGGACUGGUGCCAGCCAGCCAGAUGCCUGCCCUUGGCUGGCCAAGUUUUUGGCUCCUGAAAGUAGGCAGCUCUGGACUUGUACGAGGCCACAGAGAGAGUUCCAAGCCCCACCUGGCUCAGGCGACAACCUCUCAACCUGAAGUCAAUCUCCGGUGGCAUCACAGGGCCCUCCUGGCAGCAGCCCAGUUCCCCACAUGAACCGAAUGGUCCUUUCUUAAAUUUUGAGCCGGGGGCUGCCUAAAAGGGGCUGCCCCCGCAAGCAUUUUACCUCCCUAACACCAUUCUCUGCCCGUGCCACGCUGGCCUCGAAGUCCCUUCCCAGGGCAGCACCCGGACUGAGAUGUCUAAACUCUCCGGCAGGAAGGAUACCUAUCCAGACACCCGCACUGGAUGUCCUGUCUGUUUGGCUUUGAGCUGGUCAUUACGGUGUCUUUGGAUCCUGCCUAACUUUUCUGUAAUUUUUAUCAGAAAUAAGGCUUCAGGAGAGCAAACGUUGAGUUAUGCGCUCCUUCUCUGGAGUCUCCUGCCCUGGUGUUUGCGCUCCCACUGCAGCAAGGGAGGCCUGAGUCUCUUAGGGCAGGGGUCCAGGGUCUUGGGAGAGGCCUUAGGGCAAGGGGGAUGAUCUUUUUCAGCCUCCCCUCCCCUCCUCCCACCCAGCGUCCUCAUCCCCACCGCCUGCGAUAGACUUGGGUCGCCCAUUAGGAAGCUGAUCCGCAGGGACGGGGCAGGCUUGGCUCCUGGGGAUCUUAGGCUCCAUGGGAACUUCGGGGGUCUCGGGGCCCGUGAGCGGAUCUAGCUACUACUUCCCCUAGGUUCUCCUCGGGCUUCAGUCCCUAAGAGUCUGGACUCCGGACUGCCGCACAGAAUCCUUCUUGCCCGGAGCGGUAUUAUUGAGGUCUUUGCGUUCUGCCCCGCCCUGUCCCGCCGGCUUGGGUGCUUGGUUUCUAACCCGAGUAUACUCGGAGUCUCUGGUCCUGCGCGCCCCCCUCCUCCCGGGAGAGCCCCGUAUCUGGCUGCGGGUCAAUUUAUGACUCAAACAUGAGAUAAGCCCUAGGCAGACGGUGACGCUGACUUCCCCGUGGGGGCGCGGGGAGAGAAGGAUGAGGCAGACGUACCCCCUCCCUGGCCUGGCCCUGUCCGGGGCCGCGUCGGGGUGUGGAGGGGCGACUCCCUUCCUCCGGGAGCCCCGACUCGCUCUCUCCCAGCGCGCCUCCCCUGCGCCCGUAAAGCUCGGCCCUGCCGGAGCCCCGGGACCCGUCUGUUUUAUUUCACUUAAAGCGAUCUGCAAAGUCAAGGCCGGGUGAGGUGCGGCGCGGGAGAGGAGAGGAUAUGAACGGACGUGGAACGAAGUUCUGUCUGCCAACUCCCUCCGUCUGAUUCUUGGAAUCCGGUGGCAUCUUAAAGGACGGAAUUGAGGGCAAGGAGAAGAUUAUUAAUCCCCGAAGCCCGCUCUGUCUAUAUAUAACUGCUCAGUGGUUACAGUUGGCGAUCGCAGGGUGGGGGUUGGGGGUGUAGACCGUGGGCCAUGGAACACGUGGCAUCUCUCCAGGGCAUAAAAAUCAAUCUAGCUGGUGGCUCCUAUGGAGUUUGUAAAUUGCGCAGAGCUGGCUGGGGGAAGCCAGUGAGCUGUCCAUGGUGGUUAAGGCUCGUUGAUGUGCGUCCUCGGGCUGUCCUGGUGAGGCACAGACCCCCCUACCCCAGGGGCCGCAACGCCCCAGAGCCCCAGCCUGCCAGCGAUCCAGCCGGUGUGCGCCCGACACGAGGCUGGACGUGUGUUUGCACAACUCCAGGACGCGCUCUUGCACAGAGGCCGAAUUCCAGAGAUAGACGGAAAAAUCUCCCGAUUCCAAAUUGUGGGUUUCCUUUUAGUUCCUUCCUGAACGUGUCUUUCCCCACUCAGGCAACGUUUCACAUGCUUUAAGAAACGUCCAUCCAUUUUAGUAGCCUCUCUCCUUUUCCUUUGCUAAGGUUCUGUUCUCUAAAGAGAGAGAAGCAAGUUGAUGAUCUUGUUAGGCUUCUGUUUGUUAAAAGCAUCCACCAGCAUUUGCACCAUGUGGGAUGUCCCCAACACCUGCUUUCAUUGAGUGGGGAAACUGCUGCCAGGAGAUUGUCCGGUAUCUCAGGAAAAUUGGACAGUUUCUUCUCUAGGAGUGGUGAAGCCCUUUGUAGCAUAUUGUUCAGUGGGGCGACUUCAUUAAUCACCAUUGUCCUGAGCAGUGUGUCUGAUCGCCACUCCUAGCAAAGGAGAAAACAAAUGCUAUGGGAGUUUCCUUGUAGGUACAGUUUUGCCCAGUUCUUGUGACAUAUUCUUAUGAAAAAACAUUUACAAAGGUAAGCUUCUAUACAUGUUUAAGGCAAUUAAAUUAUCUCCACAUUUUACUUUUUUGUCUCUUAAUUUAUCCUGGCAAUUUUCUCCUUACUUAACUUGGAUAGAGAUCUCAUCUUCAACUGAAUAACGAAUUACCUCAAAUACUACAAAAGACUGCAAAAUAUUAUAAACAUUUAUAACUCAUUUGUAUUACACACCUUUAUUUAUGGGAAUAUAUUUAAUAAACAUCCAACACAUAAGAGAAUCUUUUACUUAUUUCUGUACAAGAUAUCAGAUUGCUGCUUUUACCCUUCCUUCUAAUUGUGGUGUGGCAAAUUAACAAAAGGGUGUGUGUGGGCGUACUUAUAAAUAACUUUUAGAAUAUUUGACAUUCAAUAGAAAAUAUUAGGAUUCAAUAAUUUUUAAUAGCUUUUUUCCUCUCUCAGCUUCUGGGUCUAAGUAUAAACAUUGUCCGUGGGGAAAAUGAAAUAUUUCUAUAAAUUCUUCUAAAUGUUUUCCCAAGUCAAUAAAAUCGAUAUAAUGUAUUUUACUUUCCUUCUCUCUAUUUACAAAAAUUAAGGAAAUAAGAUUUGAAUGUGUACCCAGGUUUUGAAAAGCAAGAAAUAAACCAUCA